CUAGCUGGUUCUCCCCGAAAUGUGUUGAGGCGCAGCAGUUGACUGGACAUCUAGGGGUAAAGCACUGUUUCGGUGCGGGCUGCGCGAGCGGUACCAAAUCGAGGCAAACUCUGAAGCCUGAACGAUCCUAAAAAUCCCUCGAAGGAGAUAAUAAAGAACCCAAAGCAGAUGGUAUCCUACUGCAAGGGUGGUCUUAAGAAUCCAAAAGAGGUUGCUCAGAAGAGAUAGAUGUAUCCCAACCUCUAUUAACUCCCUCAAUAA
rnacentral:rRNA from 1 species